rnacentral:rRNA from 1 species
UAAUACAUCGGAACGUGCCCUGUAGUGGGGGAUAACUAGUCGAAAGAUUAGCUAAUACCGCAUACGACCUGAGGGUGAAAGUGGGGGACCGGCAAGGCCUCAUGCUAUAGGAGCGGCCGAUGUCUGAUUAGCUAGUUGGUGAGGUAAAGGCUCACCAAGGCGACGAUCAGUAGCUGGUCUGAGAGGACGAUCAGCCACACUGGGACUGAGACACGGCCCAG